rnacentral:rRNA from 1 species
GAUAAACGCUGGCGGCGUGCUUAACACAUGCAAGUCGAACGAAGUUUUUCUUUCGGGAGGAACUUAGUGGCGGACGGGUGAGUAACGCGUGGGUAACCUGCCCUGUACAGGGGGACAACAGCUGGAAACGGCUGCUAAUACCGCAUAAGCCCUUAGCACUGCAUGGUGCAUAGGGAAAAGGAGCAAUCCGGUACAGGAUGGACCCGCGUCUGAUUAGCCAGUUGGCAGGGUAACGGCCUACCAAAGCGACGAUCAGUAGCCGAUCUGAGAGGAUGUACGGCCACAUUGGGACUGAGACACGGCCCAGACUCCUACGGGAGGCAGCAGUGGGGAAUAUUGCACAAUGGAGGAAACUCUGAUGCAGCGACGCCGCGUGAGUGAAGAAGUAUUUCGGUACGUAAAGCUCUAUCAGCAGGAAAGAAAAUGACGGUACCUGACUAAGAAGCACCGGCUAAAUACGUG